AUGCUUUUCAAUGGUGGUUCUCUUUUGCUCCGACAGUUUUUUCAGCUCUGGUGGUGGAUCGGCUCAUGCUGCUUCAGUUCCGAAGUUUUGAUGUUUUAUCUCUUUCUUUCGGUUGGCUUUUCCAUGCUCUUUUGGGUGGCUUCUCCAAAGAUUACGAAAGCUCUUUCUCUGAUGGAUCUAUUACAAGUUUGUAUUUUUGGUGCUAAGUUGGUUUUUUGGGCUUUUGAUUAUCUGAUUCGGCUUUAG